GCAAGAUUAAAACUCAUAGGAAUAGACGGGGACCCGCACAAGUGGUGGAGCAUGUGGUUUAAUUCGAAGAUACGCGAAGAACCUUACCUAGCCUUGACAUUGAUAGAAUCUUCCAGAGAUGGAGGAGUGCCUUUAGGGGAACUUGAAAACAGGUGCUGCACGGCUGUCGUCAGCUCGUGUCGUGAGAUGUUGGGUUAAGUCCCGCAACGAGCGCAACCCUCGUCACUAGUUACUAACAGUUAGGCUGAGGACUCUAGUGAGACUGCCUUCGUAAGGAGGAGGAAGGUGAGGACGACGUCAAGUCAUCAUGGCCCUUACGGCUAGGGCAACACACGUGCUACAAUGGUUAGGACAGUGAGAAGCGAUACCGCGAGGUGGAGCCAAUCUAUAAACCUAAUCUCAGUUCGGAUUGUAGUCUGCAACUCGACUACAUGAAGCUGGAAUCACUAGUAAUCGUAGAUCAGCUAUGCUACGGUGAAUACGUUCCCGGGUCUUGUACUCACCGCCCGUCACACCAUGGGAGUUGAUUUCACCCGAAGCGGGGAAGCUAAACUGGCUACCCUCCACGGUGGAAUUAGCGACUGGGGUGAAGUCGUAACAAGGUA
rnacentral:rRNA from 1 species